CGUUGAUUGGAAGGAAACCCUUCCAAUCAGGGAGGUACACUGACCUCUUUGACCGGAAGGGGUUCCUUCUGGUCAACGAGGAUGUACCUCGUUGAUUGGAAGGAAACCCUUCCGGUCAAAGAGGUCGAUGUACCUCCCUGAUUGGAAGGGUUUCCUUCCAAUCAACA
rnacentral:miRNA from 1 species